rnacentral:rRNA from 1 species
UAUGGUUAAUAGCAUACUCAUUUGACGUUAGCUGCAGAAGAAAGCACCGGCUAACUCCGUGCCAGCAGCCGCGGUAAUACGGAGGGUGCGAGCGUUAAUCGGAAUUACUGGGCGUAAAGCGCAUGCAGGUGGUUUGUUAAGUCAGAUGUGAAAGACCCGGGGCGUCAACCUCGGAAUUGCAUUUGAAACUAGGCAAACUAGAGUACUGUAGAGGGGGGUAGGAAGUUUCAGGUGUAGCGGUGAAAUGCGUAGAGAUCUGAAGGAAUACCGGUGGCGAAGGCGGCCCCCUCGGACAGAUACUGACACUCAGAUGCGAAAGCGUGGGGAGCAAACAGGAUUAGAUACCCUGGUAG